CCUACGGGCGGCAGCAGUGAGGAAUAUUGGUCAAUGGACGAGAGUCUGAACCAGCCAAGUAGCGUGAAGGAUGACUGCCCUAUGGGUUGUAAACUUCUUUUAUAUGGGAAUAAAAUGUUCCAAGUGAGGGAUUUUGUAUGUACCAUAUGAAUAAGGAUCGGCUAACUCCGUGCCAGCAGCCGCGGUAAUACGGAGGAUCCGAGCGUUAUCCGGAUUUAUUGGGUUUAAAGGGAGCGUAGGUGGAUUGUUAAGUCAGUUGUGAAAGUUUGCGGCUCAACCGUAAAAUUGCAGUUGAAACUGGCAGUCUUGAGUACAGUAGAGGUGGGCGGAAUUCGUGGUGUAGCGGUGAAAUGCUUAGAUAUCACGAAGAACUCCGAUUGCGAAGGCAGUUCACUGGACUGCAACUGACACUGAGGCUCGAAAGUGUGGGUAUCAAACAGGAUUAGAUACCCUUGUAGUC
rnacentral:rRNA from 1 species